GUCCCAGUUCGGAUUGCAGGCUGCAACCCGCCUGCAUGAAGUUGGAAUCGCUAGUAAUCGCGGAUCAGCAUGCCGCGGUGAAUACGUUCCCGGGCCUUGUACACACCGCCCGUCACACCAUGAGAGUCGGGAACACCCGAAGUCCGUAGCCUGACCGCAAGGGGGCGCGGCCGAAGGUGGGUUCGAUAAUCGGGGUGAAGUCGUAACAAGGUAAC
rnacentral:rRNA from 1 species